AGAUACUGCAGUUUAUUUGCUGCUUUUCUCUGCCUUCUUUGCUGCCAACUAACAGGCUCCAAAAGUAUCAAGGCUCACCAGUUCAUAACCAGCCAGAGGAGCCACUGCCAUCAGAGGAGGUCACCGCUCACCAGGCAGCACAAGAAGAGGAGCCUGCACCUGCACUGAGAAUGUGGACCACUUGCAGCUUGCAAGGAAAGGACCUUGCCUCUCACCAUGCAGAGAGCUGCCAGGUCACUUGCUCCUUGCUCUGAGAACUGGACCACAACAAGGAACAGAGAUGGGAGGAAGACAGGAGGGUCUUCCAGCAUGCAAGGAGGACUGGCCCAAAAACAAGAGGUACGACAGCACCUGGCAGUCCAUGGAAGACGUCUAAGAGUGGG